rnacentral:rRNA from 1 species
GACGAACGCUGGCGGCGUGCUUAACACAUGCAAGUCGAACGGAAAGGCCCUGCUUUUGUGGGGUGCUCGAGUGGCGAACGGGUGAGUAACACGUGAGUAACCUGCCCUUGUCUUUGGGAUAACUUCAGGAAACUGGGGCUAAUACCGGAUAGGAGCUCCUGCUGCAUGGUGGGGGUUGGAAAGUUUCGGCGGUUGGGGAUGGACUCGCGGCUUAUCAGCUUGUUGGUGGGGUAGUGGCUUACCAAGGCUUUGACGGGUAGCCGGCCUGAGAGGGUGACCGGCCACAGUGGGACUGGGAUGCGGCCCAGACUCCUACGGGAGGCAGCGGUGGGAAUAUUGCACAAUGGGCGGAAGCCUGAUGCAGAAACGCCGCGUGCGGGAUGACGGCCUUCGGGUUGUAAACCGCUUUCGCCUGUGACGAAGCGUGAGUGACGGUAAUGGGUAAAGAAGCACCGGCUAACUACGUG